AGCAGCCGCGGUAAUUCCAGCUCCAAUAGCGUAUAUUAAAGUUGUUGCAGUUAAAAAGCUCGUAGUUGAAUCUCGGGGUUAGUAGGUUGGUCAUGCCUCUGGUAUGUACUGGUCUCACUGAUUCCUCCUUCCUGAUGAACCUUAAUGCCAUUAAUUUGGUGUUUUGGGGAAUUUGGACUGUUACUUUAGAAAAAUUAGAGUGUUUAAAGCAAGCUAACGCUUGAAUACAUUAGCAUGGAAUAAUGAAAUAGGACGUUCGAUCCUAUUUUGUUGGUUUCUAGGAUUGACGUAAUGAUUAAUAGGGAUAGUUGGGGGCAUUAGUAUUCAAUUGUCAGAGUGAAAUUCUUGGAUUUAUUGAAGACU
rnacentral:rRNA from 1 species